UUAUUUAUUUAUUAUUAAUCUCUAUAACUUGUCCAAUGGAGUCUUGCAAGCCUUUAUCUUCGAUUGUAAAGUCGACCUAAUCUACCCGCAUCAAUCAUUCGUCAUUGAAAGUGCUUAAAAAGCCUACAAUCACAGCUGAGCACAAAUUGUCGUCAAUCCACCUCGGAUUUGAUAUAUAUAUAUAUAUAUAUAUAUAUAACACAAUAAAUAAUAAAGAAACAACAGAGUCGCCCUGGCAAUGUGUUCUCCGCAAGAGAAACGAUGCCUUUGACUCCCCCUCGCAUGGUGUCUUUGCUGUUGCUGCUUUCGAUCCGUCCAUCGGUGGCGAAGUUGCUGACACCGAACUGGGGUGCUUGUCAAUUGCUGCGCAUCAUCUGGAACCCCUGAAGCUGGGACGAAGGAGCUCCCAUCACAGCACGCCACCAAGCUCGAGAUAAGGAAGCGCCGCGAGACGAUUCUCCAUCGACCCCACAUGCAGGAUUUGCCCAGCCAUCCGGAACCCUAGGGCUGCCGCGCUUCGAAAGACGGGUGGAGAAAAGUGCAAUACUCACCAGCUCGGUCUCCACUUCUCCUCGUCCGAUGAUUGUUCCGAGUCCUUUCUCGAGCUCUCGAUCGGCAAGUCCUGUCUUUUAGUCCAUGUUCGGUGGAUUCAACUCGGCCACGAAAACAAAAUGCGUCUUGAAACGAUUCAACGAGUAUAUUCCGAAUCUUCCCUCCAAUCACCCAUCUGUUGUACUUGUAAUCUAAUGUGGACAUUGAUGUUGAAUAGUCCUGUUGCGUAGAUUGUCUUCCAUCGCACACCGCAAAAGGCAAUUUCCUCACACUCUUCUUCUCCUUCUGGGCCAAACAACGUUUCAGCAGCUGAUGACAAUUUUCUUUCUUUCUCUUGUCUCCAAAUUUGUUUCACGGGCAGGCUUUCUAGAGUUUAACUUGUGGCUACAAAGAGUUGUGGAACGCCUGCCUAACAGGUGUUAGGGUUAGAUUAAGUCGAUGUGAGGAAAAGCUCUGCUUUGUCUGUUUCCUUUCAAUUGAAACUCAUGCUGAUCCACGAAUUUUGAAUGAAGCUGCCCGAGUGGGUCCCCGUCCCUGCUCUCUGGUUGCUUUGCUACGGUGCUGAGGGGCUGAGGCAAGCAAGAAUGAGUGCCUUCAUGAACACUCCAUUGUAAAUGCUCCUCUAAAGGUUCCCAGAAAAAGAGGUUCCCUUUUUCUCUUUUCUAGAAUUUUUUGGCAAAACAAAAUCACAUAAAUAAACUGACCCAGAACUAUAUAUAUAUAUAUAUAUAUACACAGAAAUGAUGGUAAACAAAACUAACAAACUUUGUUUGCAAAGUGAGCAACCCAGUUCAGUUCAUUUGA